UUUCCGUAGGUGAACCUGCGGAAGGAUCAUUACCGAGUGUAGGGUUCCUAGCGAGCCCAACCUCCCACCCGUGUUUACUGUACCUUAGUUGCUUCGGCGGGCCCGCCAUUCAUGGCCGCCGGGGGCUCUCAGCCCCGGGCCCGCGCCCGCCGGAGACACCACGAACUCUGUCUGAUCUAGUGAAGUCUGAGUUGAUUGUAUCGCAAUCAGUUAAAACUUUCAACAAUGGAUCUCUUGGUUCCGGCAUCGAUGAAGAACGCAGCGAAAUGCGAUAACUAGUGUGAAUUGCAGAAUUCCGUGAAUCAUCGAGUCUUUGAACGCACAUUGCGCCCCCUGGUAUUCCGGGGGGCAUGCCUGUCCGAGCGUCAUUGCUGCCCAUCAAGCACGGCUUGUGUGUUGGGUCGUCGUCCCCUCUCCGGGGGGGACGGGCCCCAAAGGCAGCGGCGGCACCGCGUCCGAUCCUCGAGCGUAUGGGGCUUUGUCACCCGCUCUGUAGGCCCGGCCGGCGCUUGCCGAACGCAAAUCAAUCUUUUUCCAGGUUGACCUCGGAUCAGGUAGGGAUACCCGCUGAACUUAAG
rnacentral:rRNA from 1 species